rnacentral:rRNA from 1 species
CCCGAGGUAUCCUGAAUCUUUCGCAUUGUUAAUCAUACAAGUGCAUAUAAUAAACACAAAAAUCAAUGAUAAUCAUGCCCAUUAUAUAAUUUAAAAAAAUUAACGCACUGGUAUUCAUAUAAAUCUAUCAACAUUUUAUCAAAUUUAUGAAAUCUAUUUUAUGUUAACAUGCAAGCAUAAUAAUUCAAAUAGACCAAUAAUUCAUAAUUUUUUGAUAAAUUAAUUUUGCUAAUAGAUUACAAUGUCCUUAUAUGGAAAAAAUG